rnacentral:rRNA from 1 species
GACGAACGCUGGCGGCGUGCUUAACACAUGCAAGUCGAACGGAAAGGCCCUGCUUUUGUGGGGUGCUCGAGUGGCGAACGGGUGAGUAACACGUGAGUAACCUGCCCUUGACUUUGGGAUAACUUCAGGAAACUGGGGCUAAUACCGGAUAGGAGCUCCUGCUGCAUGGUGGGGGUUGGAAAGUUUCGGCGGUUGGGGAUGGACUCGCGGCUUAUCAGCUUGUUGGUGGGGUAGUGGCUUACCAAGGCUUUGACGGGUAGCCGGCCUGAGAGGGUGACCGGCCACAUUGGGACUGAGAUACGGCCCAGAGUCCUACGGGAGGCAGCAGUGGGGAAUAUUGCACAAUGGGCGGAAGCCUGAUGCAGCAACGCCGCGUGCGGGAUGACGGCCUUCGGGUUGUAAACCGAUUUCGCCUGUGACGAAGCGUGAGUGACGGUAAUGGGUAAAGAAGCACCGGCUAACUACGUG